ACGCUGGCGGCAGGCCUAACACAUGCAAGUCGAGCGGUAGAGAGAAGCUUGCUUCUCUUGAGAGCGGCGGACGGGUGAGUAAUGCCUAGGAAUCUGCCUGGUAGUGGGGGAUAACGUCCGGAAACGGACGCUAAUACCGCAUACGUCCUACGGGAGAAAGCAGGGGACCUUCGGGCCUUGCGCUAUCAGAUGAGCCUAGGUCGGAUUAGCUAGUUGGUGAGGUAAUGGCUCACCAAGGCGACGAUCCGUAACUGGUCUGAGAGGAUGAUCAGUCACACUGGAACUGAGACACGGUCCAGGCUCCUACGGGAGGCAGCAGUGGGGAAUACUGGACAAUGGGCGAAAGCCUGAUCCAGCCAUGCCGCGUGUGUGAAGAAGGUCUUCGGAUUGUAAAGCACUUUAAGUUGGGAGGAAGGGCCAUUACCUAAUACGUGAUGGUUUUGACGUUACCGACAGAAUAAGCACCGGCUAACUCUGUGCCAGCAGCCGCGGUAAUACAGAGGGUGCAAGCGUUAAUCGGAAUUACUGGGCGUAAAGCGCGCGUAGGUGGUUUGUUAAGUUGGAUGUGAAAUCCCCGGGCUCAACCUGGGAACUGCAUUCAAACUGACUGACUAGAGUAUGGUAGAGGGUGGUGGAAUUUCCUGUGUAGCGGUGAAA
rnacentral:rRNA from 1 species